UUCUGGAACUCCUAGGGUUAGGUCUUAACGAUAUUUCAUGAUGUCCGGCUGCUCCUGACUUCUAUCCUUUUAAAAUGAACUGGUCAUUCAAAAAAGUCAACCUGAUCCCCGAUGGACCCCAAAGCCAUGAUGCAGAAUGGAGACCAUUGAUAAAAGGAAUGUGUGAAGAAGAUUAAUUUUGAUGAUGUCAUCAACAAAUGGCCAGAAAUUAAGCUUCAAAAGGUGCCUAUAAAUGCCAUUGAAUGGAAGAUGGACAGAUGGAUGGAUGGACGGAUGGAUGGUGCUCCCAUCUAAAAACAACGCUUUGUGAAUACAUGAGAUGCACAUUUCUACUAAAUUAAACAGAUGAAAUUUAAAAGAGCCAUACAUUUUCUUUAAGAGCAUACUCCAACCCUAAGAUAAUUGAUAGACUUUAAAACCACACCUCACUUGUGUUAAGUAUCAGUAAAUCUGAAUGAUUUCUUUGGAAAGCCCUCAAUAGCCAAUAGCCAGUCAACGAUAUCAUGGGGGCAAGUACAGUACAGUUUCUAAAACUUCAACUGGGUUGCAUACCUCUUCAUA